rnacentral:misc_RNA from 1 species
AAUCGCUUCAAUAUUUUUUUAAGCAGUUUUAUGGCAUUCACAUCAAAGUAAAUAUAUUGAUACAGCAAAUAAUAUAAAAGGUCACCAAUAAGGAAAACACAAUACUUGGAUCUAACAGCCUUCUGUAGAGCAUAAAAAAAAAGUAUAGUAUGGAUCAAGAACAACGAUGAUCACUUGGAGACAAUAAAAUCCAGCAUGAUGUCCAUAUUAUACAAAAAUAUAUCUUUCCAUCUCCAUUUGCCUCGUCACUGCAAGCAGAUUCUGGACUCAGAACUCUGUAGGAGGUUUCAAUCUCAUUACUCUUCUAAUUCUAUCUUUGUCUGUAUUCUCCAGCAAUCCCUUCCAAACAAUUUCAUCUAGGCAUAAGCAUAUCUUCCCAUACUUGUCAAGGAAAAGGCGCUCAGUUGGAGGCUUCCCACAUACAUCCUUCACGGCUGAUGUGAUAGCAAAAAUGACUUCUGCCAAGGCAAGUUCAUCAUACUCAUCCUUGCCAACAACAAAAAUGCUGACAUCCCCAAGUACUGUGUAUACGAUGUAAACUGACUUAUGGGAUGCAACAAGAAGCUCUUCAUUUUUUACACCUUUAAGAUUAUCUGCCCCCAGCUUAACUAAGAAUGAUCUCCAAUGCAGCCGUUCCUCAGCUGGAACUCCACUAAACCGUUCAAUCAAGAUGUUGCCUUCAACAUUUGCGAAUAAUACCGCAAGUAUCAUGUUUUCUGGGUCUCUUUCCUUCCUUUUCCCUUCCUUUCCCCUCUUUUCUCUUCGUCUCUGUUUGGUUUUCUGCUUCAAAGAGAACUCGGAAUUUUUGCGUCUUCAUAACAACUCAUCAA